GUUCUUUAAGAUUAAAAGGGAAAUCGGUGAAAAUCCGGUACGAUCCCGUCACUGUAAUUAGAGUGUGUUUUUGAUGAUGCCACUGAGUUAUCUUGGGAAGGCCAAAAACACGAUACUUUAUAAGUCAGGAGACCUGCUUUUGCUAU
rnacentral:ncRNA from 1 species